UGCAGUCGAGCGCGAAAGCACUUCGGUGUGAGUAGAGCGGCGGACGGGUGAGUAACGCGUAAGAAUCUACCUAGUAGUGGGGGACAACUCGAGGAAACUCGAGCUAAUACCGCAUACGCCCUACGGGGGAAAGCGGGGGACCUUCGGGCCUCGCGCUAUUAGAUGAGCUUGCGUUGGAUUAGCUUGUUGGUGAGGUAAUGGCUCACCAAGGCUACGAUCCAUAGCUGGUCUGAGAGGAUGAUCAGCCACACCGGGACUGAGACACGGCCCGGACUCCUACGGGAGGCAGCAGUGGGGAAUAUUGCGCAAUGGGCGGAAGCCUGACGCAGCCAUGCCGCGUGUGUGAAGAAGGCCUUAGGGUUGUAAAGCACUUUCAAUUGGGAGGAAAAGUUAACGACUAAUACUCGUUAGCCUUGACGUUACCUUUAGAAGAAGCACCGGCUAACUCCGUGCCAGCAGCCGCGGUAAUACGGAGGGUGCAAGCGUUAAUCGGAAUUACUGGGCGUAAAGCGCGCGUAGGCGGCUUUUUAAGUCGGAUGUGAAAGCCCCGGGCUCAACCUGGGAACUGCAUCCGAUACUGGAAGGCUAGAGUGCGAGAGAGGGAGGUAGAAUUCCAUGUGUAGCGGUG
rnacentral:rRNA from 1 species